UUGCACAUCUACAGAAAGUUGUGAAGAGUGUUUUGGACUACCCCACGACGUGAGGAUUAAAGUUUUUAUUCCCUUUGAGUGAGGCCAAUGAGUUCUGACGGCAUUGUAUCGGCUGUGGUUGGACAUCAUUACAUGUUAAGGCAUGUCGAAGAAUCCUCCUGUCCGAAAUAAAUGUCAGUUUAAAAGCAAA